rnacentral:rRNA from 1 species
AUUGAACGCUGGCGGCAGGCCUAACACAUGCAAGUCGAGCGGACGAAGGGAGCUUGCUCCUGGAUUCAGCGGCGGACGGGUGAGUAAUGCCUAGGAAUCUGCCUGGUAGUGGGGGAUAACGUCCGGAAACGGGCGCUAAUACAGCAUACGUCCUGAGGGAGAAAGUGGGGGAUCUUCGGACCUCACGCUAUCAGAUGAGCCUAGGUCGGAUUAGCUAGUUGGUGGGGUAAAGGCCUACCAAGGCGACGAUCCGUAACUGGUCUGAGAGGAUGAUCAGUCACACUGGAACUGAGACACGGUCCAGACUCCUACGGGAGGCAGCAGUGGGGAAUAUUGGACAAAGGGCGAAAGCCUGAUCCAGCCAUGCCGCGUGUGUGAAGAAGGUCCUCGGAUUGUAAAGCACUUUAAGUUGGGAGGAAGGGCAGUAAGUUAAUACCUUGCUGUUUUGACGUUACCAACAGAAUAAGCACCGGCUAACUUCGUG